rnacentral:tRNA from 1 species
GUUCAAGUAGUUUAUUUAAAAUUAAGAUUUGUGGAGUCUUAGAUGCGCAAAGGCGUCUUGAACA